rnacentral:rRNA from 1 species
AGCGAACGCUGGCGGCAGGCCUAACACAUGCAAGUCGAACGAACCUUUCGGGGUUAGUGGCGGACGGGUGAGUAACACGUGGGAACGUGCCUUUAGGUUCGGAAUAACUCAGGGAAACUUGUGCUAAUACCGAAUGUGCCCUUCGGGGGAAAGAUUAAUCGCCUUUAGAGCGGCCCGCGUCUGAUUAGCUAGUUGGUUGAGGUAAUGGCUCACCAAGGCGACGAUCAGUAGCUGGUCUGAGAGGAUGAUCAGCCACAUUGGGACUGAGAUACGGCCCAAACUCCUACGGGAGGCAGCAGUGGGGAAUCUUGCGCAAUGGGCGAAAGCCUGACGCAGCCAUGCCGCGUGAAUGAUGAAGGUCUUAGGAUUGUAAAAUUCUUUCACCGGGGACGAUAAUGACGGUACCCGGAGAAGAAGCCCCGGCUAACUUCGUG